rnacentral:sRNA from 1 species
AGCUGUUCCCCUCUGGAGGUUUUUGACCUUCACACUUAUAAGGGCCCUGGUUUUCCAGUGGCCCUCUUUUUUUGCCUUU